rnacentral:rRNA from 1 species
CCUACGGGAGGCAGCAGUGGGGAAUAUUGCACAAUGGACGAAAGUCUGAUGCAGCAACGCCGCGUGGAGGAUGACACAUUUCGGUGCGUAAACUCCUUUUAUAUGAGAAGAUAAUGACGGUAUUAUAU